rnacentral:rRNA from 1 species
GACGAACGUUGGCGGCGUGCUUAACACAUGCAAGUCGAACGGAAAGGCCCUGCUUUUGUGGGGUGCUCGAGUGGCGAACGGGUGAGUAACACGUGAGUAACCUGCCCUUGACUUUGGGAUAACUUCAGGAAACUGGGGCUAAUACCGGAUAGGAGCUCCUGCUGCAUGGUGGGGGUUGGAAAGUUUCGGCGGUUGGGGAUGGACUCGCGGCUUAUCAGCUUGUUGGUGGGGUAGUGGCUUACCAAGGCUUUGACGGGUAGCCGGCCUGAGAGGGUGACCGGCCACAUUGGGACUGAGAUACGGCCCAGACUCCUACGGGAGGCAGCAGUGGGGAAUAUUGCACAAUGGCGGAAGCCUGAUGCAGCAACGCCGCGUGCGGGAUGACGGCCUUCGGGUUGUAAACCGCUUUCGCCUGUGACGAAGCGUGAGUGACGGUAAUGGGUAAAGAAGCACCGGCUAACUACGUG